rnacentral:rRNA from 1 species
AUCAGUGGCGAACGGGUGAGUAACACGUGAGCAACCUGCCCCUGACUCCGGGAUAACUCCGAGAAAUCGGUGCUAAUACCGGAUACGAGACGCACAGGCAUCUGUAGCGUCUGGAAAGAACUUCGGUCAGGGAUGGGCUCGCGGCCUAUCAGCUUGUUGGUGGGGUAACGGCCCACCAAGGCGACGACGGGUAGCCGGCCUGAGAGGGCGACCGGCCACACUGGGACUGAGACACGGCCCAGACUCCUACGGGAGGCAGCAGUGGGGAAUAUUGCACAAUGGGCGCAAGCCUGAUGCAGCGACGCCGCGUGGGGGAUGAAGGCCUUCGGGUUGUAAACCCCUUUCAGCAGGGAAGAAGCGAAAGUGACGGUACCUGCAGAAGAAGCGCCGGCUAACUACGUGCCAGCAGCCGCGGUAAUACGUAGGGCGCAAGCGUUGUCCGGAAUUAUUGGGCGUAAAGAGCUCGUAGGCGGUUUGUCGCGUCUGCUGUGAAAACCCGAGGCUCA